rnacentral:rRNA from 1 species
GACGAACGCUGGCGGCGUGCCUAACACAUGCAAGUCGAGCGAAUGAAGUUCCUUCGGGAACGGAUUUAGCGGCGGACGGGUGAGUAACACGUGGGCAACCUGCCUCAUAGAGGGGAAUAGCCUUCCGAAAGGGAGAUUAAUACCGCAUAAGAUUGUAGUACCGCAUGGUACAGCAAUUAAAGGAGUAAUCCGCUAUGAGAUGGGCCCGCGGCGCAUUAGCUAGUUGGUGAGGUAACGGCUCACCAAGGCGACGAUGCGUAGACGACCUGAGAGGGUGAUCGGCCACAUUGGGACUGAGACACGGCCCAGACUCCUACGGGAGGCAGCAGUGGGGAAUAUUGCACAAUGGGGGAAACCCUGAUGCAGCAACGCCGCGUGAGUGAUGACGGCCUUCGGGUUGUAGAGCUCUGUCUUCAGGGACGAUAAUGACGGUACCUGAGGAGGAAGCCACGGCUAACUACGUGCCAGCAGCCGCCGUAA